UACGGGGGGGGCAAGCGUUGUUCGGAAUUACCGGGCGUAAAGGGCUCGUAGGCGGCCAACUAAGUCAGACGUGAAAUCCCCAGGCUCAACCUGGGAACUGCGUCUGAUACUGGAUGGCUUGAAUCCGGGAGAGGGAUGCAGAAUUCCAGGUGUAGCGGUGAAAUGCGUAGAUAUCUGGAGGAAUACCGGUGGCGAAGGCGGCAUCCUGGACCGGCAUUGACGCUGAGGAGCGAAAGCCAGGGGAGCAAACGGG
rnacentral:rRNA from 1 species